GUCAUAUUUGAUAGGGAGAGCCAGCAGUUGAGGUUACAAAUGAAGGUGUUGAUGCUGCAGGGCAUACAAUUGGUACAACUUUGGAGGUCAUUUCCAACUUAGGAAGGUACCACACCUUUGCUAUGAUCAUGUCAGUCUUGAGGCCCUUAGAGGGACUUAUCAUCGUCUCAGUUUUAUUCGAUACAACAUCUUGCUCUCAUACACCUUAACAAAAUGGGGUAGCCGGACGUAAAAAUAUGCGUCUUGUAGAAACCGCUUGGACCCUACUUCUCUAUGGUGUCUUCGAGUCUACAAUAUUUGUUAAAGUAAAUGCCGUGACGGUGACGGUACCAGUGAUCACCCAUGGUUCUCUUUCUCUCUCUUUCAGGUUACUCCUACCCUAUCUCAUAUCGG